rnacentral:rRNA from 1 species
CAGCCGCCGCGGUAAUACCAGCUCUCCGAGUGGUAGGGACGAUUAUUGGGCUUAAAGCGUCCGUAGCCGGCCUGGCAAGUCUCCCGUUAAAUCCAACGAUUCAAUCGUUGGACUGCGGGAGAUACUGUCAGGCUAGGGGGCGGGAGAGGCCGACGGUAUUCUCGGGGUAGGGGUAAAAUCCUAUAAUCCCGGGAAGACCACCAGUGGCGAAGGCGGUCGGCUAGAACGCGCCCGACGGUGAGGGACGAAAGCUGGGGGAGCGAACCGGAUUAGAUACCCGGGUAGUCCCAGCCGUAAACGAUGCGGGCUAGGUGUUGGAGCGGCCACGAGCCGCUUCAGUGCCGCAGGGAAACCAUUAAGCCCGCCGCCUGGGGAGUACGGCCGCAAGGCUGAAACUUAAAGGAAUUGGCGGGGGAGCACCACAAGGGGUGAAGCUUGCGGUUUAAUUGGAGUCAACGCCGGAAAACUUACCGGGGGCGACAGCAGGAUGAAGGCCAGAUUGAAGGUCUUGCUGGACGAGCUGAGAGGAGGUGCAUGGCCGUCGCCAGUUCGUGCCGUGAGGUGUCCUGUUAAGUCAGGCAACGAUCGAGACCCACGCCCCCUGUUGCCACCGAGGAGGUUUCUCCAAGGGGCACUCUGGGGGGACUGCCGUCGAUAAGGCGGAGGAAGGAGUGGGCCACGGCAGGUCAGUAUGCCCCGAAUCCCCCGGGCCACACGCGAGCUGCAAUGGCUGGGACAGUGGGUUCCGACCUCGAAAGGGGGAGGUAAUCCCUAAACCCAGCCGUAGUUGGGAUCGAGGGCUGAAACUCGCCCUCGUGAACAUGGAAUCCCUAGUAAUCGCGCGUCAUCAUCGCGCGGUGAAUACGUCCCCGCUCCUUGUACACACCGCCCGU